UUCACAUGUUCACAUGAUUAAAGGUAUUCCGGUAGACGAUGGGGAUGCGUUCCAUUAGAUAGUAGGCGGGGUAACGGCCCACCUAGUCUUCGAUGGAUAGGGGUUCUGAGAGGAAGGUCCCCCACAUUGGAACUGAGACACGGUCCAAACUCCUACGGGAGGCAGCAGUGAGGAAUAUUGGUCAAUGGGCGCAGGCCUGAACCAGCCAAGUAGCGUGAAGGAUGACUGCCCUAUGGGUUGUAAACUUCUUUUAUAAAGGAAUAAAGUCGGGUAUGUAUACCCGUUUGCAUGUACUUUAUGAAUAAGGAUCGGCUAACUCCGUGCCAGCAGCCGCGGUAAUACGGAGGAUCCGAGCGUUAUCCGGAUUUAUUGGGUUUAAAGGGAGCGUAGAUGGAUGUUUAAGUCAGUUGUGAAAGUUUGCGGCUCAACCGUAAAAUUGCAGUUGAUACUGGAUAUCUUGAGUGCAGUUGAGGCAGGCGGAAUUCGUGGUGUAGCGGUGAAAUGCUUAGAUAUCACGAAGAACUCCGAUUGCGAAGGCAGCCUGCUAAGCUGCAACUGACAUUGAGGCUCGAAAGUGUGGGUAUCAAACAGGAUUAGAUACCCUGGUAGUCCACACGGUA
rnacentral:rRNA from 1 species